rnacentral:piRNA from 1 species
UCUGAGGAGCUGUCUCCAGCCUCCAGGUGU